GGGGUGCAACUGACGCUGAGGCUCGAAAGUGCGGGUAUCAAACAGGAUUAGAUACCCUGGUAGUCCGCACAGUAAACGAUGAAUACUCGCUGUCGGCGAUAUACUGUCGGCGGCCAAGCGAAAGCAUUAAGUAUUCCACCUGGGGAGUACGCCGGCAACGGUGAAACUCAAAGGAAUUGACGGGGGCCCGCACAAGCGGAGGAACAUGUGGUUUAAUUCGAUGAUACGCGAGGAACCUUACCCGGGCUUGAACUGCACCCGACGGACGGAGAGAUCCGUCUUCCGCAAGGCGGGUGUGGAGGUGCUGCAUGGUUGUCGUCAGCUCGUGCCGUGAGGUGUCGGCUUAAGUGCCAUAACGAGCGCAACCCUUCUCUUCAGUUGCCAUCAGGUUAAGCUGGGCACUCUGGAGACACUGCCAUCGUAAGAUGCGAGGAAGGUGGGGAUGACGUCAAAUCAGCACGGCCCUUACGUCCGGGGCUACACACGUGUUACAAUGGGAGGUACAGAAGGCCGCGACCCGGCGACGGGAAGCCAAUCCCCAAAUCCUCUCUCAGUUCGGACUGGAGUCUGCAACCCGACUCCACGAAGCUGGAUUCGCUA
rnacentral:rRNA from 1 species